rnacentral:rRNA from 1 species
GCUGACAGCCAUACUACCCUGAACACUCCCGAUCUCGUCUGAUCUCGGAAGCUAAGCNNNNNCAGGCCUGGUUAGUACUUGGAUGGGAGACUUUCUUCAGAUAACUAAAUAGGCAGGUGUGUUGUUC